rnacentral:rRNA from 1 species
AUGGCUCGGGUGAUCGGUGCCUCCACCGCCUGCGCGCUCGUCCUCGUCCUGUUCGUGGCGUGUGCCGCGUCCGCAGCGCGCACAGAACCGCGCGCCGCGCGGCAGCUGUGGGACGACGGGAGGAAGGUGGGGGGAAGGACGGAGGUGACGGACGUGGAGGGCGAUAGGGAGGAGGGCUGCGAGGGCGGCGGCGGCGUCUGCGGCCGGCUGGAGUUCUCCCACGUGGUGUCGGCGCAGCGCCAGGUGGUCUCCGGAAUCAAGUACUACCUCCGCGUCGCGGCCGCCGAGGAGAACGGCGUCAGCGACGGCCGCGUGUUCGACACCGUGGUGGUCGUCAAGCCCUGGCUCCAGUCCCGCGCGCUGGUCAGGUUCGCGCUGGCCGACUCCAAAUGA